rnacentral:rRNA from 1 species
GAUUGAAAAGAGCUUUGGAGAGAGAGUUCAAUAGACCGUGAAACCGUUGGGAGGGAAGCUCAGGGUGUCGAGGUUGUCGUGCUCUGUUUGGGUUCAACUGGUGGUAGUUGGGUUGCCAGCUGCUGCCGGUGCACUCUCAUGCAGAGUUGGACCGUCAGUUGGGAAGACAUCGGGACCUGCAAUGAUCGAUGGAUGGGAGGUAAGCUUUGUGGUUCCCUCGGGUGCCCAGAGUGACGUAUAGCCGUUCCGUCGUGGUUCUGAUUGUCUUUCAGGUGUGUUUGGAUGACUGAUCGUCCAAAAUUGGAAGGUGCAGUCUCCCUCUCAUGGGAGGUCGAGCCGUUCUUGAGGUUGCGCCUCAAUGUGGUCACGUGUUCCGUUCCCUCCCCACUAUACUUCGGUGUGUGGGGCUAGGGUGCGGCACGAGCUGCAUUGAGUGUGUCCCAUCAGGAUCGUGUUCCAAGUUCUGUGCCUAGGUGACUGGCGAAGAGUCGUUACUCUGUGCCCCGUCUUGAAACACGGAAAUCGAAUGUGAGCGCGCGCCAUGGCGGCCGUCAGCAUGCGACGUCAGCUCCCAAUCGGCCUA